AGCAGCCGCGGUAAUUCCAGCUCCAAUAGCGUAUAUUAAAGUUGUUGCAGUUAAAAAGCUCGUAGUUGAAUUUCGGGAUCAAAUUGUCGGUCGUGCCUCGGUACGCACUGGUAUUAUUGGUUCCUACCUUCUGAAGAACCGCGAUGUCAUUAAUUUGGUGUCGUGGGGAAUCAGGACUGUUACUUUGAAAAAAUUAGAGUGUUUAAAGCAGGCUUACGCUUGAAUACAUUAGCAUGGAAUAAUGAAAUAGGACGUUUGAUUCUAUUUUGUUGGUUUCUAGGAUUGACGUAAUGAUUAAUAGGGAUAGUUGGGGGCAUUAGUAUUCAAUUGUCAGAGGUGAAAUUCUUGGAUUUAUUGAAGACUAACUACUGCGAAAGCAUUUGCCAAGGAUGUUUUCAUUAAUCAAGAACGAAAGUUAGGGGAUCGAAGACGAUCAGAUACCGUCGUAGUCUUAACCAUAAACUAUGCCGACUAGGGAUCGGGAUGAUGUUAAUU
rnacentral:rRNA from 1 species